rnacentral:lncRNA from 1 species
GCGCUAAUUAAGCACCAUUACACCACCUCCACAGUCACCGUGCAAGAACCGGAAAAACACAAACAUUCAUCAUGGACACUAGCGAAAACUAAAAAUCGAAAAUGCGAAUCCAAAACUCAAAAAUGUAACUAAUCAUAUGAUAUAAAAAUGAUUACAAAUACCCAAUCUCCUCCGAAUCAGGCAAAAUAGAUCAAGAAAUGACAAAAUAUGAUACAAAACAACACAUACACUAAUAGAUUCAAGCACACCACACCAUUAUACUUAAUCAUGAAAAUUAUGAACCACACCAUAAUAAUAUAUACUGUGAAUCCAUAAAUAAUCACAUAACCAUAAUCAUGAAGUAUAAUGUAUUGGAAAGAUCGCACCUUGUCGAAAAGACUAAAAGCUUUCUGAAACUCGACAAUCUUAUUUGGAGGAAUGGCGCGACCGGGAUUGUUAAGCAUGAUCCGACUAACAAUCGAUCGUAUACGAUCAUGUAUCUCUAGUCGAAACAGAGAGUUGACAGAAAAUGUCCAAGGGCAGUUGAUUAUGUUGAGUAAGAAAUCAUGGGCUGAGAAUAGAGAGGGGCAACUGGUGUGUGUUAAUAUUAAAAUAGAGAUGAUAGCUUAGAUUUGCAGGGGAGGAGGCGUAUAGGG